rnacentral:rRNA from 1 species
CCUACGGGGGACAGCAGUGGGGAAUAUUGCACAAUGGGGGGAACCCUGAUGCAGCGACGCCGCGUGGGUGAAGGAGUAUUUCGGUAUGUAAAGCCCUAUCAGCAGGGAAGAACAAUGACGGUACCUGACUAAGAAGCACCGGCUAAAUACGUGCCAGCAGCCGCGGUAAUACGUAGGGUGCAAGCGUUAUCCGGAUUGACUGGGUGUAAAGGGAGCGCAGGCGGCGCGUUAAGCCUGGUGUGAAAGUCCGCGGCCCAACCGCGGGACUGCAUUGGGAACUGGCGCGCUGGAGUGUCGGAGGGGUAGGUGGAAUUCCUAGUGUAGCGGUGAAAUGCGUAGAGAUUAGGAGGAACACCAGUGGCGAAGGCGGCCUACUGGACGGUGACUGACGCUGAGGCUCGAAAGCGUGGGGAGCAAACAGGAUUAGAUACCCUUGUAGUC